rnacentral:rRNA from 1 species
UACGGAGGGGGCAAGCGUUGUUCGGAAUUAUUGGGCGUAAAGGGCGCGUAGGCGGCCGGAUAAGUCUGACGUGAAAUCCCUCGGCCUAACCGAGGAACUGCGUUUGAAACUGUUCGGCUCGAGUCCGGGAGAGGGUAGUGGAAUUCCCAGUGUAGCGGUGAAAUGCGUAGAUAUUGGGAGGAACACCGGUGGCGAAGGCGGCUACCUGGACCGGUACUGACGCUGAUGCGCGAAAGCGUGGGUAGCAAACGGG